rnacentral:tRNA from 1 species
GGGCCUGUAGCUCAGUUGGUUAGAGCGUAUGCAUGGCAUGCAUAAGGUCGCGGGUUCGAAUCCCGCCAGGUCCACCA